rnacentral:rRNA from 1 species
UACGUAGGGACCGAGCGUUGUCCGGAAUCAUUGGGCGUAAAGAGCGUGUAGGCGGCUUGUUAAGUCUUGCGUGAAAUCUCGGGGCUCAACCCCGAGCGGUCGUGAGAAACUGGCAGGCUAGAGUGCGGAAGAGGCGAGUGGAAUUCCUGGUGUAGCGGUGAAAUGCGCAGAUAUCAGGAGGAACACCGGUGGCGAAGGCGGGUCUCUGGGCCGAUACUGACGCUGAGGAGCGAAAGCGUGGGGAGCGAACAGG